rnacentral:lncRNA from 10 species
GUAAAAACCAUGCUUCAGCUGCUCUGCAAAAACCCUGUGCGGGACCCUUUCCUGGAGUGUAAUUUCACAUAACCUAGGACUACGAGGAAAAGUUGGUUACCCAAAAAGAAUUCUAAUGAAGAUGUAAGAGAAGGAAUGAAGUAUGAGGUUCACUCUGGGAUAGAAAGAAAAAAAAAGCUACAAAGGUUGAUGAACAAGUGCAUGUGUGGCCCAGGAUCAUUGCUUCCCCCUGGGACCGGACUCCUUGUAAUCAUCCUUACUCUUUGCUGUUCCUGCUCCUGCCACAGGGUCAGUCUACUGGAGCAAGUGCUGCUUCUACUUCACUGGUGAUUUCCAUUUGUUCAGCGGCUAUACCUGUGAAUGUCUGGAAAAGGCCAACUUGGGAAAGAGUUAGUGACAGACUGCUGACUUAAUUUAAGACAUGAUGGGGAGCACCAUUCUAGCAUCCUUUAGCUCUUAAAGUCCUUAAGAAGCAUGCAAAAUUCAACCUCACCAUUACAAUAUGAUGUUUUUGUGACUACAUUGGUGAUGUAAUUUGUGAGUGAUGUCUGAGGAGCUGCGCUA